rnacentral:rRNA from 1 species
AUUGAACGCUGGCGGCAGGCCUAACACAUGCAAGUCGAACGGUAGCACAGAGAGCUUGCUCUCGGGUGACGAGUGGCGGACGGGUGAGUAAUGUCUGGGAAACUGCCCGAUGGAGGGGGAUAACUACUGGAAACGGUAGCUAAUACCGCAUAACGUCGCAAGACCAAAGUGGGGGACCUUCGGGCCUCACACCAUCGGAUGUGCCAAGAUGGGAUUAGCUAGUAGGUGGGGUAAUGGCUCACCUAGGCGACGAUCCCUAGCUGGUCUGAGAGGAUGACCAGCCACACUGGAACUGAGACACGGUCCAGACUCCUACGGGAGGCAGCAGUGGGGAAUACUGCACAAUGGGCGCAAGCCUGAUGCAGCCAUGCCGCGUGUAUGAAGAAGGCCUUUGGGUUGUAAAGUACUUUCAGCGGGGAGGAAGGCGGUGAAGUUAAUAACUUCACCGAUUGACGUUACCCGCAGAAGAAGCACCGGCUAACUCCGUGCCAGCCGCCGCCGUAA